rnacentral:rRNA from 1 species
AGCAGCCGCGGUAAUUCCAGCUCCAAUAGCGUAUAUUAAAGUUGUUGCAGUUAAAAAGCUCGUAGUUGAAUUUCGGGGUCAGUAGGUUGGUCGUGCCACUGGUAUGUACUGGUCUCACUGAUUCCUCCUUCCUGAUGAGCCGUAAUGCCAUUAAUUUGGUGUUGCGGGGAAUCUGGACUGUUACUUUGAAAAAUUAGAGUGUUUAAAGCAGGCUAACGCUUGAAUACAUUAGCAUGGAAUAAUGGAAUAGGACGUUCGAUCCUAUUUUGUUGGUUUCUAGGAUUGACGUAAUGAUUAAUAGGGAUAGUUGGGGGCAUUAGUAUUCAAUUGUCAGAGGUGAAAUUCUUGGAUUUAUUGAAGACUAACUACUGCGAAAGCAUUUGCCAAGGAUGUUUUCAUUAAUCAAGAACGAAAGUUAGGGGAUCGAAGACGAUCAGAUACCGUCGUAGUCUUAACCAUAAACUAUGCCGACUAGGGAUCGGAUGAUGUUAAUUUUUUAAUGACUCAUUCGGCGCCUUAA